CACACUCUCUGAACCCACUGCU
rnacentral:miRNA from 1 species